rnacentral:rRNA from 1 species
GCAAGUCGUGCGACAGACCAGGAAUUGAUUACUUCGGUUUGAUUUUCCUGACGAUGAGCGGCGAACGGGUGCGUAACACGUGAGAAACCUGCCUUGAAGUUCGGGAUAGCUCGGCGAAAGUCGAAUUAAUACCGGAUGUGGCCUAGGGAUAGCAUUUUCCCUUGGUUAAAGCUCGGUCACAGAGCGCUUUAGAUGGUCUCGCGGUCUAUCAGCUUGUUGGUGAGGUAACGGCUCACCAAGGCUACGACGGAUAACUGAUCUGAGAGGAUGAUCAGUCACACUGGAACUGAGACACGGUCCAGACACCUACGGGUGGCAGCAGUCGAGAAUCAUUCACAAUGGGCGCAAGCCUGAUGGUGCGACGCCGCGUGGGGGAUGAAGGGCUUCGGUCUGUAAACCCCUGUCAUCUGUGAGUAAGGUCUCGUAUAAAAGCUACGAGAAUUGAUAUUAACAGAAGAGGAAGGGACGGCUAACUCUGUGCCAGCAGCCGCGGUAAUACAGAGGUCCCAAGCGUUGUUCGGAUUUACUGGGCGUAAAGGGUGCGUAGGCGGUUAGAAAAGUUUGGUGUGAAAUCUUCGGGCUCAACCCGGAAACUGCACUGAAAACUAUUUAACUAGAGGAUCGGAGAGGAGAUUGGAAUUCUCAGUGUAGCAGUGAAAUGCGUGGAUAUUGAGAGGAACACCAGUUGCGAAGGCGGAUCUCUGGACGAUUCCUGACGCUGAGGCACGAAAGCUGGGGGAGCGAAGAGGAUUAGAUACCCUCGUAGUCCCAGCCGUAAACGGUGCGCACUUGCUGUGGGCGGAUUCGACCCCGUCCGUGGCGAAGCUAACGCGUUAAGUGCGCCGCCUGGGGAGUACGGUCGCAAGAUUAAAACUCAAAGAAAUUGACGGGGGCCUGCACAAGCGGUGGAGUAUGUGGCUUAA